rnacentral:tRNA from 2 species
AGUAAUGAAGUAAAAUUUACAUUUAGUUUCGGCCUAAAAAUAGGGAAAUUUUCCCCUUACUU